UACGAAGGGGGCUAGCGUUGCUCGGAAUCACUGGGCGUAAAGCGCACGUAGGCGGGUCUUUAAGUCAGGGGUGAAAUCCUGGAGCUCAACUCCAGAACUGCCUUUGAUACUGAGGAUCUCGAGUCCGGGAGAGGUGAGUGGAACUCCGAGUGUAGAGGUGAAAUUCGUAGAUAUUCGGAAGAACACCAGUGGCGAAGGCGGCUCACUGGCCCGGUACUGACGCUGAGGUGCGAAAGCGUGGGUAGCAAACAGG
rnacentral:rRNA from 1 species